rnacentral:rRNA from 1 species
GACAGAGGGUGCAAACGUUGUUCGGAUUUACUGGGCGUAAAGCGCGUGUAGGCGGCUUUGCAAGUCGGAUGUGAAAUCCCACGGCUCAACCGUGGAAGUGCAUCCGAAACGGCAUGGCUGGAGUCCCGGAGAGGAAGGUGGAAUGCUUGGUGUAGAGGUGAAAUUCGUAGAUAUCAAGCAGAGCACCUGCGGCGAAGGCGGCCUUCUGGACGGUGACUGACGCUGAGACGCGAAAGCGUGGG